rnacentral:tRNA from 1 species
AGGAUUAUAGUUUAUAAAAACAUUUGAUUUGCAUUCAAAAAAUAUUAUACUAAAUAAUUUAUCUUA